CUGCUAGGGCCGGCUGGUUCCUCUGGUAUCCAACUGCCCACCAGAGACGCCACGCGGGGCAGGAGACGCCCUCGCCGCCCUGCUAGGGCCGGCUGGUUCCUCUGGUACCCACCUACCAGAGACACCACACGGGGCAGGAGACACCCUCGCUGCCCUGCUAAGGUCGGCUGGUUCCCCUGGUACCCACCUACCAGAAACGCCAUGCGGGGCAGGAGACGCCCUCGCCGCCCUGCUAGGGUCGGCUGGUUCCCCUGGUACCCACCUACCAGAGACGCCACGCGGGGCAGGAGACGCCCUCGCCACCCUGCUAGGGUCGGCUGCUCCUCCUGGUACCCGCCUACCAGACACCACACCGAGGAGAAGACCCCUCUCGCCGCCCUGCCCAGCCAGAGUGAGGAGUGCGCUUCCCUAUUCCCUCAUGCCUCUCCAAAGUAUCUGGCUGCCCCAUCAUUGCGAGCGGCUGAUCAGACCCCUCCUCUGGCUCUGCCAAGCCCAGGCAGCCCCAUCGGCUCCUCCUUGCUGCUGAGUUCCCGACCCACCUAAUGUGGCAGGGGGAGAAGGAACCUGCCACCCCCCUCUGCGUCCUGCCCAGCUGGAGCUGUGUCCCGUGGGGCACUGCCCUCUCCCCUCAGUGCUGCCCAGGGAGCUGGGUGCUGGGGUGGCUCGCGAGUGAUGGGCUGUGCCGGGGUUUGGCCGGCAGGACAGAGAGCCAGCCCCCCUCGCUCUCAUUUCCCUGGGGCUCCCCACGGGGCGUGCGCUGUGCUCCCUGACAGUGGUAUCCCGGAGCCCUUGUAGGGAGCUCCCUGCUGCCUGGGGGAGCCGGCCAGCGCCGUCACCCCCUUCCCGGCUGUAUUUAACAAGCUGUAUUUAUGAUGAGGCGUUCCAUUCUAGCUCGAUGGAUAAAGGGCCGAUGACGUUGUCUUGGGAUGGCUGAGGCUGGCCGACCGGGCCAGGAGUCCAGCCAGGUCUCUCCUGCGCAUCCCUUCGCCUCAUUUCUCCUCUUCCCCCUCCCCGAGAGUCCAGUGCUGGACGGACCCUGCAAGUGAUCAAUAAACCCUGCAGAAAAGA